UUUGCUGCCCUGUGCUACAUUGACCCUUUGUCUGAAAGAUACUGGGGUUUGGGAAGGAAGGUAAUAUUGUACUGAAAUUUAAGCGCCUUUUGUUAAAUAUCAAGGAAAACAGAAUAUAUGGUCUGAUCAGCAACUCCAUUGCAAUUUGAAAAUAUGUAAUCAGCUGGAGGCGAUGUGCCCAACCUUAAUCGGUGCUGGAGCCUUUGGAAGAGAGAGAUUGUGUCAUCACACAGUAUAUAGUCCAACAAUGACUGACCUUGGUGAAUCUGUGAAAGAAGAAAAUAGUUUUCUCACUUCUUAAAUUGCAAAAUGCACAAAAGAAAAAGAAA